AGCUCCAAGAGCGUAUAUUAAAGUUGUUGCAGUUAAAAAGCUCGUAGUUGGAUUUCUGGUACAAUGCGCCUGGCCCGCGGCGGUUACGCCUGUGAGUGCCGGUGCGCGUUUGCCAUCCUUCUAGAAAACGUUUCUACCCUUCACUGGGCCGGACUCGCGAUCUAGAUCUUUUACUUUGAAAAAAUUAGAGUGUUUAACGCAGGCGAUUCGCCACUGAAUACAUUAGCAUGGAAUAAUAAUCUAGGACUUCGGUUCUAUUUUGUUGGUUUCUAGUACUGAAGUAAUGAUUGAUAGGGAUAGUUGGGGGUGCUAGUAUUGGCCGGCCAGAGGUGAAAUUCUUGGAUUCGGUCAAGACUAACUUAUGCGAAAGCAUUCACCAAGGAUGUCUUCU
rnacentral:rRNA from 1 species